rnacentral:snoRNA from 12 species
UGGCAGUGCUGAUGAUGUCGACAGUUGUCUUCAACCUGAAUAUCCCCGUGUGGGUUUUCAGUCACUACCUCAUCUGAACUGUCA